rnacentral:rRNA from 1 species
CCUACGGGUGGCAGCAGUGAGGAAUCUUGGUCAAUGGACGAGAGUCUGAACCAGCCAAGUAGCGUGAAGGAUGACUGCCCUAUGGGUUUUAAACUUCUUUUAUAAAGGAAUAAAACGAGGCACGUGUGCCUUUUUGCAUGUACUUUAUGAAUAAGGAUCGGCUAACUCCGUGCCAGCAGCCGCGGUAAGACGGAGGAUCCGAGCGUUAUCCGGAUUUAUUGGGUUUAAAGGGAGCGUAGAUGGGUUGUUAAGUCAGAUGUGAAAGUUUGCGGCUCAACCGUAAAAUUGCAAUUGAUACUGGAAGACUUGAGUACAGAUGAGGAAGGCGGAAUUCGUGGUGUAGCGGUGAAAUGCUCAGAUAUCACGAAGAACCCCGAUUGCGAAGGCAGCUUACUAAUCUGUGACUGACAUUGAUGCUCGAAAGUGUGGGGAUCAAACAGGAUUAGAUACCCUGGUAGUC